GUAGCUUGAAAUGAACUUAAUUUCAAUAAGAGCAUCAGAGGGACGAUAGAAGAUAUUGCCGCAGAGCAACAUGAAGAAAAUCGAAAAACAAAAGACGAAAAUUGUGUAAAGUGGUUUUAUAGGGCAACAAUAUAGAAAAACAGGAUUUACCACACACACACAACACUCGGCAAUGGCAGAUGGAAACGGGAAAGCUGGACUGGGACUGGGACCGGGAUUGGGAUU
ensembl:ncRNA lncRNA:CR45356 long non-coding RNA:CR45356